rnacentral:siRNA from 1 species
UAGCAAUGAAGAUGGAUAUGCU